rnacentral:rRNA from 1 species
GAUGAACGCUGGCGGCGUGCCUAAUACAUGCAAGUCGAGCGAACAGACGAGGCGCUUGCUCCUCUUACGUUAGCGGCGGACGGGGGAGUAACACGUGGAUAACCUACCUAUAAGACUGGGAUAACUUCGGGAAACCGGAGCUAAUACCGGAUAAUAUAUUGAACCGCAUGGUUCAAUAGUGAAAGACGGCUUUGCUGUCACUUAUAGAUGGAUCCGCGCCGCAUUAGCUAGUGGGUAAGGUAACGGCUUACCAAGGCGACGACGCGUAGCCGAUCUGAGAGGAUGACCGGCCACACUGGAACUGAGACACGGUCCAGAUUCCUACGGGAGGCAGCAGUAGGGAAUAUUGCACAAUGGGCGCAAGCUUGACGGAGCAACGCCGCGUGAAUGAUGAAGGUCUUCGGAUCGUAAAGCUCUGUUAGUAGGGAGGAAGAAAUGUGUGAGAAACUAUGCGCGUAUUGACGUUACCUAAACAAGAAGCCACGGCUAACUACGUG